CAGCAGCCACGGUAACACGGAGGGAGCUAGCGUUGUUCGGAAUUACUGGGCGUAAAGCGCGCGUAGGCGGUUACUCAAGUCAGAGGUGAAAGCCCGGGGCUCAACCCCGGAACUGCCUUUGAAACUAGGUGACUAGAAUCUCGGAGAGGUCAGUGGAAUUCCGAGUGUAGAGGUGAAAUUCGUAGAUAUUCGGAAGAACACCAGUGGCGAAGGCGACUGACUGGACAAGUAUUGACGCUGAGGUGCGAAAGCGUGGGGAGCAAACAGGAUUAGAUACCCGGGUAGUCCCUGUCUCUUAUAC
rnacentral:rRNA from 1 species